GACGAACGCUGGCGGCGUGCUCAACACAUGCAAGUCGAACGGUGACGAGGAGCUUGCUCCUCUGAUCAGUGGCGAACGGGUGAGUAACACGUGGGCAACCUGCCCCUGACUUCGGGAUAACGCUUCGAAAGAGGUGCUAAUACCGGAUAUGAGUCCCUCCGGCAUCUGAGGGACUGGAAAGUUUUUCGGUCAGGGAUGGGCCCGCGGCCUAUCAGCUUGUUGGUGAGGUAACGGCUCACCAAGGCGACGACGGGUAGCCGGCCUGAGAGGGCGACCGGCCACACUGGGACUGAGACACGGCCCAGACUCCUACGGGAGGCAGCAGUGGGGAAUAUUGCGCAAUGGGCGAAAGCCUGACGCAGCAACGCCGCGUGAGGGAUGACGGCCUUCGGGUUGUAAACCUCUUUCAGCAGGGAAGAAGCGAAAGUGACGGUACCUGCAGAAGAAGCACCGGCUAACUACGUGCCAGCCGCCGCCGUAAUAC
rnacentral:rRNA from 1 species